AGUAACGGCGAGUGAAGCGGCGACAGCUCAAAUUUGAAAUCGGGCUCUUUCAGGGUCCGAGUUGUAAUUUGUAGAAGAUGCUUCGGGUGUGGCUCUGGUCUAAGUUCCUUGGAACAGGACGUCAUAGAGGGUGGGAAUCCCGUAUGUGACUGGCUGCCUUCGCCUAUGUGAAGCUCUUUCGACGAGUCGAGUUGUUUGGGA
rnacentral:rRNA from 1 species